AUUGAACGCUGGCGGCAUGCCUUACACAUGCAAGUCGAACGGCAGCACGGGUGCUUGCACCUGGUGGCGAGUGGCGAACGGGUGAGUAAUACAUCGGAACGUACCUUAUCGUGGGGGAUAACGCAGCGAAAGCUGUGCUAAUACCGCAUACGCCCUAAGGGGGAAAGCGGGGGAUCGAAAGACCUCGCGCGAUUAGAGCGGCCGAUGCCUGAUUAGCUUGUUGGUGGGGUAAAAGCCCACCAAGGCGACGAUCAGUAGCUGGUCUGAGAGGACGAUCAGCCACACUGGGACUGAGACACGGCCAAGACUCCGACGGGAGGCAGCAGUGGGGAAUUUUGGACAAUGGGGGCAACCCUGAUCCAGCAAUGCCGCGUGAGUGAAGAAGGCCUUCGGGUUGUAAAGCUCUUUUGUCAGGGAAGAAACACCGGCUCUAACACAGUCCGGGAAUGACGGUACCUGAAGAAUAAGCACCGGCUAACUACGUGCCAGCCGCCGCCGUAA
rnacentral:rRNA from 1 species